rnacentral:lncRNA from 1 species
GGCCCGGCCGAAACGUAGAUUUUGUAUAUUCACGUUUUUCAACUAUUAAAUUUCUUCUUCUUCCUGACCGGAACUUCGACGAACCUUUCAUUUUCAAUCUACCUCCCGGUCACAAAUUUCUUUCCUAAACACAAUGCAUCGAAACGGCUUCGUGGACGUCUCGUACCACCGUCAUCCUACGUCAUACCGAACUUCAAAUCACUCACAAACCAAGAAGAUCUGGAACUACCGGCAAAAACUAGCACGCAUCAAAAACCAUUUUAUUUCCUGAGGAUGGUCGGCAGGGCCCGGCCGAAACGUAGAUUUUGUAUAUUCACGUUUUUCAACUAUUAAAUUUCUUCUUCUUCCUGACCGGAACUUCGACGAACCUUUCAUUUUCAAUCUACCUCCCGGUCACAAAUUUCUUUCCUAAACACAAUGCAUCGAAACGGCUUCGUGGACGUCUCGUACCACCGUCAUCCUACGUCAUACCGAACUUCAAAUCACUCACAAACCAAGAAGAUCUGGAACUACCGGCAAAAACUAGCACGCAUCAAAAACCAUUUUAUUUCCUGAGGAUGGUCGGCAGGGCCCGGCCGAAACGUAGAUUUUGUAUAUUCACGUUUUUCAACUAUUAAAUUUCUUCUUCUUCCUGACCGGAACUUCGACGAACCUUUCAUUUUCAAUCUACCUCCCGGUCACAAAUUUCUUUCCUAAACACAAUGCAUCGAAACGGCUUCGUGGACGUCUCGUACCACCGUCAUCCUACGUCAUACCGAACUUCAAAUCACUCACAAACCAAGAAGAUCUGGAACUACCGGCAAAAACUAGCACGCAUCAAAAACCGUAAGGUGUUCCUCCUUAAAUGCCGCCAAUUUGGAAUUAUUCCAAAUUUUCUAAAUUUUAAAAUCAAAAACCUUCAACAUUUAAAAAGUGAAAAAACUUUCAUCAAAGCAUUACGCGUUUUUCAACAAAAGUGUCUGUCGCUUGAAAUUAAAACAUGU